UCAGACGUGUGCUCUUCCGAUCUGGGAUGCCUUGGCGUUAAGAGAAUGAAGGGCGUGGAAGUCUGCGAAAAGCCUGGGGGAGUUGACAAACAAGUAAUGAUCCCGGGAUUCCCAACUGCAGCCAGCUGAAUACAUAGGCUGGUUUGUAACAACCUAGUGAACUGAAACAUCUAAGUAACUAGAGGAAGAGAAAGAAAAAUCGAUUCCGUCAGUAGCGGCGAGCGAAAUCGGAAUAGCCCAAACCCCGGGGGUUUCCCUUGGGGGGUUGUAGGACUCCAAUGUUGGAUUGUGUGUUGCUAGUGGAAGAUUCUGGAAAGUUUCGCCACAGAGGGUGACAGUCCCGUACACGAAAGUAAACACACACCAUAGGAGCACCUGAGUAGGUCCAGUCACGUGAAACCUGGACUGAAUCCGCGGGGACCAUCCCGCAAGGCUAAAUACUCCUUAACGACCGAUAGUAAACCAGUAGCGUGAGUGAAUGGUGAAAAGAACCCCUGCUAGGGGAGGUAAUGAACCUGAAACCAUGUGCCUACAAGCGGUCGGAGCUCUAUGUCUCAGCUUGCUGAGAAAUGGGUGACGGCGUGCCUUUUGCAUAAUGAUCCGGCGAGUUGUGGUAUGCGGCUUGGUUAAGUCCUUACGGGACGUAGCCCAAGGGAAACCGAGUCUGAAUAGGGCGAAUUUGUCGUAUGCUGCAGACGCGAAACCUGUGUGAUCUACCCAUGAGCAGGUUGAAGCGCGGGUUAAACUGCGUGGAGGACCGAACCCACUUAGGUUGAAAACUGAGGGGAUGACUUGUGGGGAGGACUGAAAGUGUAAUCAAACCAGGAGAUAGCUCGUUCUCUCCGAAAUAUCUUGAGGGAUAGCGUCGAGUAAAUUAGUUACCGGGGGUAGAGAUACUGAAUCGGAUGGGGGCCCUUCCCAGGGUACCCCACCGAACCAAACUCCGAAUACCGGUUAACCUUACCUCGGCAGUCAGUCCCUGGGGGAUAAGCUCCAGGGUCGAGAGGGAAACAACCCAGAUCGCCUGCUAAGGUCCCGAAGGACCACUUAGUCACUAAGGAAGUUGAAGUGCCGUGACAGCUGGGAUGUUGGCUUAGAAGCAGCCACCAUUUAAAAAGUGCGUAACAGCUUACCAGUCGAGCAUUUCUGCGCCGAUAAUGAACGGGAGUAAGUGGUACACCGAAGCAGCGGGCUCUAGUUUACUAGAGCGGUAGGAGAGCGCCGAUGAUCAGAUACGAGCCGUACGGUAACGAGCGGUGUCGGGGUCAUCGGGUGAUUAUGCCGGAAUGAGUAACGAUAAAACAGGUGAGAAUCCUGUUCGCCGAAAGCCUAAGGUUUCCUGGGGAAGGCAAUUCCGCCCAGGGUUAGCCGGUACCUUAGUCGAGGCCGAAAGGCGUAGACGAUGGAUAGCAGGUCAACAUUCCUGCGCCGGUUGUGUAUUCGAUGUGGGGACGGCGUCCAGAAAGUGAGCGGUACGAAUAGAAAUGUCCGUAGCGAAAGCUGAGAUAUCCGGGGUUAAAAUACCGGUGUUCGUCAAGGCUGAGCUCGAGAGCGUUUAAGUUCUCGAAGUCAUUGGAAGGACGUCCAAGAAAAGCCACUAGGUUAAGCAACUGACCGUACUAAAACUGACACAGGUAGGUGAGAAGAGAAUUCUAAGGCGCUCGGGAGAACGGUGGUUAAGGAACUCUGCAAAAUGGCCCCGUAAGUUCGCGAUAAGGGGCGCCCUCUUUGGUUUACGCUGAAGGGGGCCACAGAAAAUCGGCUCUAACGACUGUUUAUCAAAAACACAGGUCUCUGCUAACACGCAAGUGGAUGUAUAGAGACUGACGCCUGCCCGGUGCUGGUAGGUUAAGGAAGACGGUUAGCCUCACGGCGAAGCUGGCGACCGAAGCCCCAGUAAACGGCGGCCCUAACUAUGAGGGUCCUAAGGUAGCGAAGUUCCUUGUCGGGUAAGUUCCGACCUGCAUGAAAGGCGUAACGAUUUGAGCAGAUCGGAAGAGCGUCGUGUAGGGAAAG
rnacentral:rRNA from 1 species